rnacentral:lncRNA from 1 species
CCUGCCAGACGCGAAAAAUUCAUGUCUGACAGGGUAGUGGAGACACUACACUCGACCAAAAAGCCGAGUGUAUAAAGCCCCACUGUAGCAACCCGGGAGAGGAAGAAUCGGAGCCAAAAAAAAAUCACAACCUGCAAACCAAAAAACCCUAGAAAAUCCUAGCAACCAGAGACCAAAAAUCCAAAGCUAAGCCUCCUAGCAGUAGCAACAAUCCAUAAAAAUCAAAGAAAUAUACCAAAAAAUAUAUACCAAAAAAAAUUCAAAAAUAUGCACAAUGAGAGAGGGAGAAUAGUUGGGUUUUUUGGGUGAAUUUUUGGUUGAUUUUUAAGAGCGAUAAAGCUUGGAUAUUUGUCGCCGGUGAGAGUGGGUAAAGCUUGGGUUGUUUGCCGCCAGUUAAGAGGGAUAAAGCUUGGGUUUUUUGCCACCGGUUAGGAGGGGUAAAGCUUGGGUAUUUACUGUCGGUGAGAGUGGGUAAAGCUUGGGUUAUUUACCGCCGGUUAGGAGGGAUAAAGCUUGGGUAUUUGCCACCUGUGAGAGUGGGUAAAGCUUGGGUUGUUUGCCGCCAGUUAAGAGGGAUAAAGCUUGGGUUUUUUGCCACCGGUUAGGAGGGGUAAAGCUUGGGUAUUUGCUGCCGGUUAGAGUGGGUAAAGCUUGGGUAUUUGCUGCCGGUUAGAGUGGGUAAAGCUUGGGUAUUUGCCACCUGUGAGAGUGGGUAAAGCUUGGGCUAUUUGCCGCCCGUUAGGAAGAAUAAAGCUUGGGCUAUUUGCUGCCGGCAAAGGAAAGAGAGAAAGGGUUAAGAAAGUCGACGCUGGUGAGAGAGAAAAGAGAGAAGAAAAGUGA